UACGGGGGGGGCAAGCGUUGUUCGGAAUUACUGGGCGUAAAGGGCUCGUAGGUGGCCAACUAAGUCAGACGUGAAAUCCCUCGGCUUAACCGGGGAACUGCGUCUGAUACUGGAUGGCUUGAGUUCGGGAGAGGGAUGCGGAAUUCCAGGUGUAGCGGUGAAAUGCGUAGAUAUCUGGAGGAACACCGGUGGCGAAGGCGGCUAUCUGGGCUUUAACUGACGCUGAGGCGCGAAGGCUAGGGGAGCAAACAGG
rnacentral:rRNA from 1 species